AAUGAACGUUGGCGGCAUGGAUUAGGCAUGCAAGUCGCGCGCGAAACGUAGCAAUACGUGGAGAGCGGCGAAAGGGAGAGGAAUACGUGGGAACCUACCUCGGGGCCUGGAAUAGCGGCGGGAAACUGCCGGUAAUGCCAGAUAACGUCUCCGGACCAAAGGUGUGAUUCCGCCUGGAGAUGGGCCCACGUCCUAUCAGCUUGUUGGUGUGGUAAUGGCGCACCAAGGCUAAGACGGGUAUGUGGUGUGAGAGCAUGCCCCCACUCACUGGGACUGAGACACUGCCCAGACACCUACGGGUGGCUGCAGUCGAGAAUCUUCGGCAAUGAGCGCGAGCUUGACCGAGCGAUGCCGCGUGCGGGAUGAAGGCCCUCGGGUUGUAAACCGCUGUCGUAGAGGAGUAAUGGUCAGGGGGUUCUCCCUCUGAUUUGAACAAUUCUAGGAGGAAGGACGGGCUAAGUUCGUGCCAGCCGCCGCAGUAAUAC
rnacentral:rRNA from 1 species